CUUUUCGCUCCGUCCUUUACUGCAUGCUCGACAUAAUUCCAGAAGCAUUAUGUUCCAUUGCCUUUUUUCCACUUUUCUUAGUUGCUCUCACUCUCCCUUGUCUUCUUCUCAGAAAGUGUAAAGAUCUUUCUUGCAAGCAAAAUUGAAUUGCCGUUUUUAGGCGUCGACAAAUCCCUAGACUAGCGACUUCAUGAUCUUUCUCCGGUGGUUGAGGACCUUUCUAAAGGUUGAAAAGCAAUCAAACUAUUAAAUAUCAAUGGUAAAAGAUGUAGUUUUCUCCUUAAAUUUUAAUCUUUUUCCUUGCUUUAUAGUUGUUCAUAGAUUCUUAUAAGCAAUUUAUGAUGGGAAUAUACAAUUUAUGAUGGGAAUUUUAAUGGGUUUUCACAAAAUCGGUUUUGGGGGAUUAUAUUUUAUUUUAUUUAGAAAUUGGGGCUUUUCCUUUUGAGUUCCUAAAUAAGCUAUGUUUCUACAUUAGAUGUGUAUUGCUCUUACAGGUGACUGUGCAUUUGAUACUCCAGUAAUUGUGACUCCAGAAAAUAAGCCCUCAACUCUAAUGCCCUCUAUGGUAUCUCUUCUCUGUCUCUGUGACAACAUAUCUCUGACUUUUUUUGAGGAUUGUAUUUUGUAUUCUUCUCUCUUUAUUUUUUUUAAAAUUUUUAGAAUUUUGUUGGUGAUUAUGAAGAGCUUAUUUGGGCUCUUUUUUGGCAACAUGAGAUUCCAUAUAACUAGUCUUAUUAAUAUGAAAAGGUGAAAGAAACAAUAAUCUUUGCCAUCGCUGAUAAGUUGCAAGUAAUGAAUGGUAUAUUAAGAGCAAUUUUAUAACAUUCAUAUAACUCUUGGAGUUUAUAUUUACACUUCUUGAGAUUGAAGUUAAUAGUAUAAGAAAUAUUCUAUGAGAGCUAUAUUGAAUACUAACUGUUAGAAGUUAAAAAGAUUCCAUUUUGAGAACUAUAGUGAAUACUAACUGUUAAAAGUUGAAAAGAUUCUACUUUGGAUAACUCAUCAUUCACAAUUCACAUGAUAUCAUAAGUCAAUUGAAGUAUGCAUUUCUGAUAUCAAAUCUGUAAUAGCUGGCUAAAGAAACAAAGACUAAUUGUAGGAUAAGAAAAAGCUUUCAAUUUGCUGUAACUUUGAUGGGCCCAAAAGCAAAUAAGUUAGGUGAAUCUUGCGAGUUCUUCUGCUUCGCAUCAAAGUUUCUUUGUCUUGAUAAUUUAUUUAUGGUUAUGAAAAUUGAAAAACUCUAAUAAGUAAUUUUCGAAGGUCGGUAGUGCUUAGUCUCUUCGUUCGUAGGCUUGAAUCACAUUAUUGUAAACUAGCUUUGUUAGAAGAUACUACUGCCACAGGUAAAUAUGCUUCACAUUUCUGGUAUAUCAAUUAAUUUGGUUCAACUAAUAUAAUGAACCAGUGAAUGGUCACUGAGCAAGUAUGAAUGUCAUUUACUGCUAAGAUCUCCCCGUACGUUAUUUGCAAUCUCCUUACCUUAAAAAUGAUUAUAUAAAUAUAUGAUAUUUCACUGUAAUAAAAAGUUUCUCUUUUUGGUACAAAGCAGAAUAUGUCUUAUAUGAAUCAGUACAUUAAGAUGUAGCUUAAUUAUUAACUAUCUUCUAAUGCCCAAUGCCUUUUGAACUGGAAACCACUGAACAAGCAUUUUAAAAUGCUACUAACGACCUACCAAAGGUGACCGACGAGGUUUCAUGCUUAGUUUUUGUGAUGUUAUAUAAUUCUAUCAUUAUUUGCACAUUUCUUAGUUGUUCAAAUUUUCAGUACCAAUAUCAGCAAGUGUGGCGGAGUUGAUAAUUUAUUUUUUGGAUCUUAGAUCUUUUGCUUGAAUAUGCCUAGGCUCCUUCAGAUGAUGUAGUUAAAAUGGUGGUGGAUAAGUUUUUGGUAUAGUGGUUGAUGCAAAAAGUAAUUUUAAAAUGAAUAAACAAUUCUUAGGUAGUAAUUAUAGCUUGGUUAAUUGGCUUGGAAUGUUUGAACUGUCAACGUUGUGAUGUAGGCUAUGCAGUGUGAUUAACGAAUGUCGUUUUUCAAAUUUGUAAAGCAUAUAUUCAUUUCAAUAUUGUCACGAUAAACCUGGUUGCUUGAAGGCACAUAAGCUGAAUCUAUAUAGACGACGAUAUUUCCAAAAAUGCAAAUGGAGACACUGAAAAUAUUUGAUGAUGUAAAUAUGGGUAUAGGAAUUUUAGUUUUAAUUGUAUAUGUUAAGAAUUAAUUGCUUUUUUAUAAACAAUUAAAAUUAACUUUUAAUUUUUUACUCUAACAUAAUGGUAAUUAUCAUGAUGUUGGCAUAUAAUAGGCUUAGUAGACUGUCAACAAGAUGCACUCCUAGGUGAUGGUAAG
rnacentral:lncRNA from 1 species